GCCCAAACCUGCAGAAUUCGCUGAAUC
rnacentral:SRP_RNA from 1 species